rnacentral:rRNA from 1 species
AGCGAACGCUAGCGGCGGGCUUAACACAUGCAAGUCGAGCGCCUUACUUCGGUAAGGAGCGGCGAACGGGUGAGUAACACGUAGGUUAUCUGCCCCCGGGUGAGGGACAACCAAGGGAAACUUUGGCUAAUACCACAUAUGGUCUACGGAUCAAAGGCUUCGGCCGCCUGGGGAUGAGCCUGCGUCCCAUUAUUUAAUCCUUGUUGGUGGGGUAAAAGCCUACCAAGGGUACGAUGGGUAGCUGGUCUGAGAGGAUGAUCAGCCACACUGGGACUGAGACACGGCCCAGACUCCUACGGGAGGCAGCAGUGGGGAAUAUUGCGCAAUGGGCGAAAGCCUGACGCAGCUACGCCGCGUGAGUGAUGAAGGCCCCAGGGUCGUAAAGCUCUGUCGGGGGGGAAGAAGUUCUGACGGUACCCCCCAAGAAAGCACCGGCUAACUCCG